rnacentral:lncRNA from 1 species
CUUUUCACAUCUGCAAGGACACUUGGAGGCAACUGCCCAAGGCCACUCUGAGGAGGGUUGAAUGUUCUUUAUUAAAAGGACUGAGGAUCAUGUGUGUUGGUGGGCCUUGGACUCUGCUCUAAGCUCAAAUUUUGCAGUUUCUGCUGUCAUCACAGCUGGGAAUGAGAAAGGGAAGGGGCUCCAGUUGGUCUCCCUCUGCCUCUGGAGCACACGUGGAGGACAUGAGGCUUCCGCAGGAACAGCUCUGAAAGCUGAGUUCUCGGGUCCCUGUGAAGGAGGGAAGCUUGCCUGCCUUGGAGCGUGAAAAAGUCUUGCUGGACAGAAGUCUCACGGUUUAAAACUGGGAAGGGAGAGGAUUGAGAUCACACUAGAAUGCACAGAAAAUUCUUAAAACAAAAAAAUGAGAGAAACUUCAUCAGAAUGUGAAAAGAACUAUAAAGCUACAGUGCUGAAGAGAGGGCAAUACUGGCACUAGAAUGAGAAGAUUCAUGGAACACAGUGGAAAAUGCAGUAAGAGAGCUGCAUGUAUGUAAUAUUUUAUCAUGUGAUAAAGUGAUAUAUUAAUAUUCACAAGGAAAUAGUCAAUUAUUUAAUAAGUUCUCUUUUUGGUAUUGACUUACUGUAUGGAAACAAAUAUUGUUGCAUUUCUACCUUACUAGUUACAAAUAGUGAUUUAGUUGUAAUAAAAUGAAAAUCAUUAGACUUAAACGAUGAUGAAUUGCAUAGAAGUUCUAGGUGAGAUUGGCCUUUCUAAGCCUGGCAUCAAACUAGACACCCUAGAAAAAUGGACAGAUAUU